UGAGGGAAUAUUGGGUCAAUGGGGCGGGAGCCUGAACCAGCCAAGUCGCGUGAGGGAGGAAGGUCCUACGGAUUGUAAACCUCUUUAGCCGGGGAGCAACGUGCGCCACGCGUGGCGCAGUGAGAGUACCCGGAGAAUAAGCAUCGGCUAAUUCCGUGCCAGCAGCCGCGGUAAUACGGAAGAUGCGAGCGUUAUCCGGAUUUAUUGGGUUUAAAGGGAGCGUAGGCGGACUAUCAAGUCAGUUGUGAAAGUCAUCGGCUCAACCGCUGAAUUGCAGUUGAAACUGGUAGUCUUGAGUGCACAUGAGGAUGGUGGAAUUCGUAGUGUAGCGGUGAAAUGCUUAGAUAUUACGAAGAACUCCGAUUGCGAAGGCAGCUAUCUGGGGUGCAACUGACGCUGAGGCUCGAAGGUGU
rnacentral:rRNA from 1 species